GCUUAUGGUGGCUGUGCGCGGGAUACCUUCGGGUAUGCCGGGUUUUCAGGUGGACCGGUCUGCGACCCCGCGCACAGCUACCACCCUC
rnacentral:antisense_RNA from 1 species